AGUAAAUUGUUACAACCAGGGUCAAUGGCACUCUACAAAGUGGAAAAAAUUCUGGUCAAUAAGAGGGUUGUCAAAGAUGUGUAGAAGCUGAGGCACCAUUAACAAACAUUAUCCCUGGAGGCUUUCCACAGUUUGAUCCUGCGCUUCACACCUAAGAAUGUGGUUUUUCCUUUUAUGGGCAUGCUUAGCAGGUUGUACCUUGCAGCCAUGCACUACAAUGACAAUGCAGACCUCGCGCAAGCAAGCCACAACAUCUGCAUGACAACCAGUUAUCAGGGUUGUGUUUCCCAAGUCCAGGAAGGGGGAGGUGACUGUGAGGCCAGUAAAAACAGAUUACAUA